rnacentral:rRNA from 1 species
NNNNUGGUAAUUGGAAUGAGUACAAUCUAAAUCCCUUAACGAGGAUCCAUUGGAGGGGAAGUCUGGUGCCAGCAGCCGCGGUAAUUCCAGCUCCAAUAGCGUAUAUUUAAGUUGUUGCAGUUAAAAAGCUCGUAGUUGGAUCUUGGGUCGUAAAGGUCGGUCCGCCUACUCAGUGUGCACCUGCCCUUCCGUCCCUUUUGUCGGCGGCGUGCUCCUGGCCUUAAUUGGCUGGGUCGCGGCUCCGGCGCUGUUACUUUGAAAAAAUUAGAGUGCUCAAAGCAAGCUUAUGCUCUGAAUACAUUAACAUGGAAUAACGUGAUAGGAGUCUGGUCCUAUUGUGUUGGCCUUCGGGACCGGAGUAAUGAUUAAUAGGGACUGUCGGGGGCAUUCGUAUUUCAUUGUCAGAGGUGAAAUUCUUGGAUUUAUGAAAGACGGACCACUGCGAAAGCAUUUGCCAAGGAUAUUUUCAUUAAUCAAGAACGAAAGUUGGGGGCUCGAAGACGAUCAGAUACCGUCCUAGUCUCAACCAUAAAUGAUGCCGACUAGGGAUCGACAGAUGUUGCUCUAAGGACUCUGCCAGCACCUUCUGAGAAAUCAGAGUGUUUGGGUUCCGGGGGAGUAUGGUCGCAAGGCUGAAACUUAAAGGAAUUGACGGAAGGGCACCACCAGGAGUGGAGCCUGCGGCUUAAUUUGAUUCAACACAGGGAAACUUACCAGGUCAAGACAUAGUAAGGAUUGAUAGAUUGAGAGCUCUUUCUUGAUUCUAUGGGUGGUGGUGCAUGGCCGUUCUUAGUUGGUGGAGCGAUUUGUCUGGUUAAUUCCGAUAACUAACGAGAUCUCAGCCUGCUAACUAGCUACACGGAGGUUCCCCUUCGCGGCUAGCUUCUUAGAGGGACUAUGGCAGUUUAGGCCAUGGAAGUUUGAGGCAAUAACAGGUCUGUGAUGCCCUUAGAUGUUCUAGGCUGCACGCGCGCUACACUGAUGCAGCCAACGAGCUUUUCUUCUUGGUUCAAGAGGAUCGGGAAAUAUUUUCAAAUUGCAUCGUGAUGGGGAUAGACCAUUGCAAUUAUUGGUCUUCAACGAGGAAUUCCUAGUAAACGCGUGUCAUCAACUCGUGUUGACUACGUCCUUGCCCUUUGUACACACCGCCCAUCGCUCCUACCGAUUGAAUGAUCCGGUGAAGAGUUCGGAUUGCGUCGAUGAUUGUGGUUCGCCACCGUCGAAGUCGUGAGAAGUUCAUUGAACCUUAUCAUUUAGAGGAAGGAGAAGUCGUAACAAGGUUACCAUAGGUGAACCUGCGGUAG